rnacentral:rRNA from 1 species
UUUAUGGAGAGUUUGAUCCUGGCUCAGAGUGAACGCUGGUGGCGUGCCUAAUACAUGCAAGUCGAACGAUGAAGUCCUAGCUUGCUAGGAUGGAUUAGUGGCGCACGGGUGAGUAAUAUAUAGUUAAUCUGCCCUACACAGAGGAACAACAGUUGGAAACGACUGCU